rnacentral:rRNA from 1 species
GACGAACGCUGGCGGCGUGCUUAACACAUGCAAGUCGAACGGAAAGGCCCUGCUUUUGUGGGGUGCUCGAGUGGCGAACGGGUGAGUAACACGUGAGUAACCUGCCCUUGACUUUGGGAUAACUUCAGGAAACUGGGGCUAAUACCGGAUAGGAGCUCCUGCCGCAUGGUGGGGGUUGGAAAGUUUCGGCGGUUGGGGAUGGACUCGCGGCUUAUCAGCUUGUUGGUGGGGUAGUGGCUUACCAAGGCUUUGACGGCUAGCCGGCCUGAGCGGGUGACCGGCCACAGUGGGACUGAGACACGGCCCAGACUCCUACGGGAGGCAGCAGUGGGGAAUAUUGCACAAUGGGCGGAAGCCUGAUGCAGCAACGCCGCGUGCGGGAUGACGGCCUUCGGGUUGUAAACCGCUUUCGCCUGUGACGAAGCGUGAGUGACGGUAAUGAGUAAAGAAGCACCGGCUAACUACGUG